rnacentral:rRNA from 1 species
UACAGAGGGUGCAAGCGUUAAUCGGAAUUACUGGGCGUAAAGCGUGCGUAGACGGUUACAUAAGUCGGGUGUGAAAGCCCCGGGCUCAACCCUGGGGAAUUGCAUUCGAGACUGCGUAGCUAGGGUGCGGAAGAGGGAAGCGGAAUUUCCGGGUGUGAGCGGUGGAAAUGCGUAGAUAUCGAGAGGAACACCAGAGGUGAAGACGGGUUGCUGGGCCGACACUGACGCUGACAGCGCGAAAGCCAGGGGAGCAAACGGG